GACAGAGGUGCCGAGCGUUAGGCGGAAUCACUGGGCUUAAAGCGCGUGUAGGCGGGACGGCACGUCGAUCGUUGAAAGCCCCCGGCUCAACCGGGGAAUGGGCGCCGAUACGACCGUCCUGGAGGAACGUAGGGGGACCUGGAACUUCCGGUGGAGCGGUGAAAUGCGUUGAGAUCGGAAGGAACGCCCGUGGCGAAAGCGAGGUCCUGGACGUUUUCUGACGCUGAGACGCGAAAGCCAGGGGAGCGAACGGG
rnacentral:rRNA from 1 species